rnacentral:tRNA from 1 species
GAGAAUUUAGUUAACAUAUAACGUCAACUUGUCAAGUUUAAAUAAAUAUUUAGUAUUAGUUCUCA